GACGAACGCUGGCGGCGUGCUUAACACAUGCAAGUCGAACGGAAAGGCCCUGCUUUUGUGGGGUGCUCGAGUGACGAACGGGUGAGUAACACGUGAGUAACCUGCCCUUGACUUUGGGAUAACUUCAGGAAACUGGGGCUAAUACCGGAUAGGAGCUCCUGCUGCAUGGUGGGGGUUGGAAAGUUUCGGCGGUUGGGGAUGGACUCGCGGCUUAUCAGCUUGUUGGUGGGGUAGUGGCUUACCAAGGCUUUGACGGGUAGCCGGCCUGAGAGGGUGACCGGCCACAUGGGGACUGAGAUACGGCCCAGACUCCUACGGGAGGCAGCAGUGGGGAAUAUUGCACAGUGGGCGGAAGCCUGAUGCAGCAACGCCGCGUGCGGGAUGACGGCCUUCGGGUUGUAAACCGCUUUCGCCUGUGACGAAGCGUGAGUGACGGUAAUGGGUAAAGAAGCACCGGCUAACUACGUG
rnacentral:rRNA from 1 species